rnacentral:ncRNA from 1 species
AUCAAUCUUCGGGGCAGGGUGUAAUUCCCGACCGGCGGUGAUGAGACAUUUAGUUUGUUUCUAAGUCCGCGAGCCGUUAUUUUAAGGCAGGAUCUGGUGUGACUCCAGAACCGACAGUAUAGUCUGGAUGAGAGAAGAUGGAG